UCCCUGCCCCGCCACUAAUCUGCCCGUGCACGCAGCCUCCACCUGCUGAGCCAGCGGAAGCCAUGCUCAGCCAGCCCCAGCCAGUGCCAGGGCUCUAAAACCCACUCCGGCUGCAGAGCCUGUAGGGUGGCGGAGCCUUUGCAGCCUGGUCCUGCUGCCGUGGGAAAUCCCAGUCCUCUUGGUACCGGGCAGUGAGGAGUCUGCAGGCAGCAUCAUCCAGCGCCAGAAGAGCUGAGCUAUCAAGGUCAAGUCGUGCAAGGAAGCAGAGGGACAACAGGAUGCUGGAGGUCUGCAUGGCUCCCUGUAAGCGGUGAUAUGCCAGCUGGAUCUCUGUGCCACAAGCAUAAUUCAGGAGGGUAUCACAGCCCACUCCUUCCCCACCUCAUCCCAACAAGACUCAGGCCAUCAGGUGAGCAUGACCUCUGUCCUACCACCUCAUCCCAAAAUACAAGGCAGGGCACCAAGAGCCCAGAGAUCACCAUCAGGAGUCCUGCAAGCAAUGACUGGAGAUCUCCUACCCCAAAAAGGGUCUGCCAGCAGUUCUGCAGCCAGGAUCCUGUUCCAGGGUCAGCCAGGACCAGCAAGGGAAUAGCAAAACUAAAAUGAUCAGUCCCUGAGCCAUUUGCUGACCUCAGCAACAGGCUGAGAUGCUUUGUUGGCUAUCAAAGCAUCUGUGAUCACUGCAGUCUUGUUAUAGUUUGAUUCUCAGGAGCCUGUAGCAGGGUUUUUUUGCCCCCAUUAGCUAAUAGAUUCAUAACCUGCUGGCACUUGACAGAGGUUCAGCA